rnacentral:tRNA from 1 species
UAAAUAAGAAGCAAAAAAGCAAUAUAAUUUCGACUUAUAAUCAGAUAUCUAAAACUAUCCUUAUUGA